rnacentral:rRNA from 1 species
ACCCAGACUCCUACGGGAGGCAGCAGUCGGGAAUAUUGCGCAAUGGAGGGAACUCUGACGCAGUGACGCCGCGUAUAGGACGAAGGCUUUCGGAUUGUAAACUAUUUUCGUUAGGGAAGAAAAAAGACAGUACCUAAGGAGGAAGCCCCGGCUAACUAUGUGCCAGCAGCCGCGGUAAUACAUAGGGGGCAAGCGUUAUCCGGAAUUAUUGGGUGUAAAGGGUGCGUAGACGGGUGUUUAAGUUGGUUGUGAUAACCCUCGGCUCAACUGAGGAACUGCAACCAAGACUGGAGAUCCUGAGUGUCGGAGAGGAAAGUGGAAUUCCUAGUGUAGCGGUGAAAUGCGUAGAUAUUAGGAGGAACACCAGUGGCGAAGGCGACGUUCUGGACGAUAACUGACGUUGAGGCACGAAAGUGUGGGGAGCACACAGGAUUAGAUACCCCCGUAAUA